AACUAACAAGUCACUGACAACUACUUUUGAGACCUAUAGACGUCUAGAUCUUAUACUCUUAUAUUUGUGUUUUAUUUUAAAGUUAGUUCUGUUUCUAUAGUAUAGAUGUUACGUAUAAAUAAAACGGUCUCUGUCCAGACUCAAGUCAAAGUUAUUAAGUAGAAAGUCUCUGAAAGUUUUUUAAUUUUAAAAAAGAAUUCGAUCAAAUGAUCAAGAACUUCACUUGGACCUUGUGCUAGUGUCAAUCUUGAUCUAAACUUAAACCUAUAUUAUAUAUCAUUCAUCAGCUUAGAAUGAAAAGAUGAGUGUGUGACUGAACUUAAAAAAAAGAACCUUCGUCCACUUUUAAUCAUGUUGAAGUUUGCCUAAACAAUCAGCAUUGAUGUUUUGAAUGCAUCUGUAAUAUUUAAAAAGAUUUGUUUGUGUUGCUGACUCAUCAAAUCCAAGAUUCAAAUUUUCAUCAAUACUUGAAAAAAAAAAUUGAAGAUAGUCAUGUGUUCAUCAUUAAACUCCAUGUGAGUAAGGGCUUGAGAAGCUUACAUCAUUUUGCAAAAGCCCUGAACUAAAAUCUUUCUGUUGUAUGCAAUGCACAUUACCAUACAAGUUAAAAACGUGUAGCUUUCUGGUGUGUUGACAAGGUUCAAGUUAUCAUACUUUAAAUUUACAAGUUCUUUAUCAAGGUUUGAUUCAUCAUUUGCAAGACAUGUCUGACACAAAGAUAUUUCAAGAGAAAUUUAAACUUCAAGUUUUUAUCUAUUUGAAAUGUACAAACUUCAAAUCUUCACUACUACUGUUACAUCCUUAUUAUAGCCACCAAUCUAUGAACCUAUUAUUACUAUUUAAAAAAUUUAUUUUGUCAGCACAUUAGUUUUAACACUAUAGUUUAUGUCCAAUGUACUUUCUAAACUAUUCUUAGCUAAAAUAGAUUAGUCACAUCAAAGUCGAGAUUUUUUUUUAAUACUACAAGUUAUUCAGUAAAUACACAAGCUACGAUUUGUAUAUUAUAUUGAACUGCAUGAAUAUUGAAUAGUUCACAAAGAGUAAAAUUCUUUGUAAAUAUUUACCAUUUUUCUAAAUUUGUCUUCGAUGCUACAUUAUUUACCUAUACAAAUCUUAAGUAUAAUUUUGUUUGAAACUCGUUACAAGUCACGAAGUGAUCAAAUUCAAUUUCACAUUCUAUCAUGUAAAAUAAUGCAACUCUUUCUGCACAAUUUAUUUGACCUCACCUUUAGCUACAUGACAUUUUCAGUAUGCUAAUUUCUUACAGCAUGACUGCUACUUGCAUGUGCAUUUUUCUUGAUAGCCAGUAAUUCAUAUUUUCCAUUUCUCUGAACUUUAUUUUAGUGCAGUGACAUUAAUGAAAUUGUCAAACGUUUGUGGCCUGGCUUGUGCCAAGUUUUAUGCAUUCUUUUUCUUGUUAAGCCAUUUGCAAGAUGUAUUACUCUUCUCUACUAAAUUCCUGAAUUAUUCUUGGCAUGUGCAUUUUUCUUGAAAUCCAGUAAUUCAUAUUUUCCAUUUCUCUGAACUGUUUUUUUUUAGUGCAGUGACAUUAAUAAAAUUAUGUCAAACAUUUGUGGGCCUGGCUAGUGCCAAGUUUUAUGCAUUCUUCUUCUCAUUAAGUAAGCCAUUUGCAAGAUGUAUUACUCUUCUCUAAUAAAUUCCUGAAUUAUUCUUGGAAUGUAAAAUAAAUCCUCUACAAAAUAUCAUGCAAAAUGAUUCAACUUGUUUGAUAGUGUCAUUGUUUAACAGCACUAGAUUCAAUUUAAAUAUUGCAUAGUGUCCUGAGUAUGACGUUAAACUGCUCCUCUUUGUUUGUUACUUUUGGAGCUUAAAAGUUUCUCUUUUUCUUACCUUUCACCAGAUAGCCUCUUUUCUAGUGUCUGCCUACUACAAUCUGUCAUUUUCUUUGAAAUUCUAAACCUUAUCCAUGUGGUCCGAAGAGAUUUUAGUCUCACAUGGACAUUGUACAUAAGUGUAUAUAGUUGACUCUUUUGUCUUUAUAACUUGUACUUGUUUGAACUAAAUUGUCCUGAGAUGAAUGUCUUAAGGAACAUCUGUACUGAUUGUGGUCUAGUUUCCCUAUAAGGUUGUAUUAUUUAAGAAGAGUUAACUUGUAUGGUGGAUGGUAGUCUCCUGUUGAUAAGUUUAUAUAAGUGGUGUGGCCGGCAGCACUGCUUGUAUAGAUGAAUCCUUAGGGACUUUACUCUCCCUAUGCAGUUGAUGAUUCAAAGAUUGUACAGCUGAGUGAACCUGACCCAUCUCUCUAGUUACAGUGUAAAUAUAAUGUGUACAGCCUAUAAAACUUUCUUUCUAUUUAUAACAUGGACUUAUUCUAACAUGUAGUUAACUCAUUCAAAUUGUUGUGAAUGAAUUCAAUAUUUGUUUGUGUGUGUAUAUUUUUGGAAGGGUUUUCUUAAAGUUUGAAUUAUUUAAAUUGUUAUAUCAAACAAUAGUCCUUGAUAUUUGCUGAUACUCUCUAUUCAUUUUGAAUGACAUGAUUUGCUUUGUGUGCAUUUUUAUGUCCAUAAGCACACUUGUUUUAUAGUGUAUACAAAGUUUUGUUACAGUUCUGAUUUCUUGUAUAAUAUUAUAAUAGAUAAUUUUACUAUCAGCUGCUAUUCAUACAAUAUUCCUUGAUAGUUGCUGCUACUAUUGACCUUGUUCCUACAUAGUAGCAUUGUGAGCAUUUUGUUAACUACUUUGUCUAGUAUCAUGCUUAAUUUUAUUGUAGAACAUAACUUGAUUUAAGGUGUACCUUGAUGUUUAGUUUUGACUUAACUGUUAUUCAUAAAACAGGUCUUGAUAUUUAAUCUUUUAUUUCUUUCAUUUGUACUACUUGGUAUUUAUAGUGUAAAUUACAAGGACUAAUUGGUCUUUUUAUAAUUUUGUCUAUUUAUACAAAAAUCAUUUUCAUGUUAACUAGAUUUAUGUACUAUUUCUAAAUCUUUCAACAUGCGACAAUUAGACCCACUUUAUAUUGACAUCUCAAAGAUUUGACACAAAGCAUGUUUAGAAUAAUUAAUAAUUAGUAGUUGAACACACAAACACACACACACUGCAAACAUUCCCACACAAGGACACACACGUUGAGAGCACACCACCACACACACUGACAACAUUCCCACACAAGCUACACACAAGGACACACAUGUUGAGAGCACCACCACACACACUCACUCUGCAUCAUCUUUCUUUGCCACAUUUAAAAGUUGACACAAAAGACUAAGACCAGGUGAUUACUUUGUCUACAUGUAAAACUUGACCAAGUGUUCAUUGAUCAGGAAAUAUUGUUUAUAUACUUAUAUCUUAUUUUACUUGUACCCAGGUGUAUUGAAGUCAUUUCUCUUGAAAGUCAUUUCAAUAUCUUUCUAUUGACAUUGUCCCCUUCCUAUUAUACACAAGUUUUCUUAUUUUAAGAAUUUUGUUUUCAACAUUUAUCAUAAAGAUCUGUUCUGAAGUCCUUCCACUGCUCUUCUAAACAUUGUUUGCUAGCUACUCUAUACCUUGUUCCACUGGCUCCUCUAAACGUGUAAGCUUACUAUACAAACUAGUUUUUAAUCUAACAAUUCCUUGAAUGCUUGACUUUUUCAUAAACUUUUUUUCGUGACAUUUAUUCAAAGUCUCAGUUCAGUUGUCUAAAUAGAAAUUAAUUUUUUUCUUGUCCAGUUUCUCUUUCGAAUGCUUCCAUUGUUAUCUCUUAUAGUACCAGUAUAUGAGGAACUGUUACUGUUAGAAUUAAAGCCUGAGAAAUAUCCUGAGACAUGAUGUUAAACUGCUCCUCUUUUCUGGCACUUUUGGAGCUCAAGAGUUCCUCUUUUUACUUUCCUCCUUUCUACAACCUCUUUCCACUGUCAUCCCACUUCACCUUUAAUAGUAAGAUUCAUAUUUUUUCAGUAAUUUUUGUUGUUGUUGUUGGGUGAGAGAUCCAUCGUUAGCUGGCCGUAGCGAUAGGGUUUCUACCUAGCAAUUUAUAGUCUUUAAAUGAAUUUCUUAUUUUUUUAAUUUUUUUUUAUUUAUAAAGAAGUCUAAGUAAGAUUUGAAACCCAUUUCAAGUUUGUGUUCUUGAGAAUUUAAAAAAAAUUAUUCAAAAAUUAGAUUCUGGCAUAUUUUUUCCAUAUUAUCUGACAACUAUACUUUGUAUUAUUUAUACUAUUUACACAAGAAAUAACUGAAUAUUCUUUAUUGAUUUUUUUUUUUUUAUUUGGUUGGAAAGCGUUGAGGCUCUUGGGUGUGUUUGAGAAAAUAUAAUGCAAAUAGUAUUUAAAUCAUUGGAAGUUGCCCAUAUUAACUUUUUACUGCUAGAAAAGUUAUUUUAUUUUUUUAUUUUCAACAUGGCCAUUUUUGUGGCCAUGAAUAAUAUUUAGUUAAUUAUUUAGUCUGCUUUGUGUGUGCGCAAGCCCUCUCCAGCUAACUCCACAUCCAUUAAGGAUUUUGUUUGCGUUUCUGUUUUGUUAACUUGUUUUUGUGUUUGAUUAAAACCCUUAUUUGGAUCUUUUUAUUUUUUUUGUUAGCUGCUGGAACUUAUAUUUAGUUAGCAUUUACCUUAACUUGAAAUUCAUGUUCAGGAUAGGAUUUUGGAUUAGGUUUUCUGUUGCUAGUUUAGGUGUUUGUGUGUUAGGGUGAGGUUUUAUGCUAUCUAGAUAUAUUUUCCAUAUGAAAGUCCCUGGCUAACUAUCCAUUAGGGCUUGUUUUGUUUUUGUUGUUUUGAUUGUCUGUUAUGUUUUAUAAGUU